UACGAAGGGGGCUAGCGUUGUUCGGAUUUACUGGGCGUAAAGCGCACGUAGGCGGAUCGAUCAGUCAGGGGUGAAAUCCCCAGAGCUCAACUCUGGAACUGCCUUUGAUACUGUCGAUCUGGAGUAUGGAAGAGGUGAGUGGAAUUCCGAGUGUAGAGGUGAAAUUCGUAGAUAUUCGGAGGAACACCAGUGGCGAAGGCGGCUCACUGGUCCAUUACUGACGCUGAGGCGCGAAAGCGUGGGGAGCAAACGGG
rnacentral:rRNA from 1 species